UUGAUCUUCGUAUAAUCCUUCUUUAUUACCGCUAGUUAGUGGCCUUUUUAGUGUUUUUUUUUAAUACGUUGUGAGUCAUCGAGUGAAAGUCUAAUGCUUCCUUCUAGUGAAAUUAUUUUGUUACAAAUGGAAGAGCUUAGAAGUUUUGAUUCUGCAGCGCUAAAAAUAACAGAAAUAGUAUCAUAUACAUUUAAAUUCAACCUAGCUUUUCAAAGAAUCCUGUAGUCUCUACACCGGAGACACCAACAAGUGAACUAUUUAUAGCAAUUAUGCCACAAGGACAACUGCUACAAGACUUUCUUUUUGGUGAUCUUAUAUAAGGGAGAAGAGCGGAGCCAUACAUCCAAGAUGUCUGUAGUGUGAAGUGGUUCAAGUCUAUUGCAAGAAAACGACAAGAUAAAUAUACAGUACAGACAUUCACUUCGGAUAACCACAAGAAAAAUAAAAAUGUGAACAUUAUGUCUUGCAGCCAUGCCCUUGUGUUCCGUAACCCUAGUUCUAUACAGAUAUUGUUAUUUGUGUGUGGUCCAGUUCAUGGGUGAAUAUGGACGAGAAAUAAGAAGUGAACAUAGCAAUUAGGAAAAUGAACAAGAAAUAUGGGUGUGAACUAGGACGGUGGAGUUUCAAUACAAAGAUUACU